GGGGGCGUAUUUUGGCUUUGACGACUACCACGGAACCCGAAGUGCAUACCGAGAAUGAUCAUAACUCGUUAAAAUUUGCUCAAAAAAUUAGUUGCAGAUAACUACAACUAUAGAUUGGCAGCUUAAUGUCAACCUGUUAUCAUUUGUGACCUACAACAUUUGAUAAUAGUCAAUUUAGUAGGAUAUAUUUAGACUUUGCCCAAAGUUUAAGCGAAUUUUUAGGGCUAUGCUUAAUGUGUCUUGAUCAUCAGGCUACAUUAAAGUGAAAUUAAUUGAUGAAUCUAUGUAUGUAGAAACGAGGAGGAAGUGAUGACGGACGUGGGUUCGAAUCCCGCCGCCUCCACCA
rnacentral:tmRNA from 1 species